UAGGCCAACACAAUAGGUUGCUAAGCCGCGAGGUGGCGCCAAUCCAUAAAGUUGGUCUCAGUUCAGAUUGUAGGCUGCAACCCGCCUGCAUGAAGAUGGAGUUGCUAGUAACCGCAGGUCAGCUAUACUGCGGUGAAUACGUUCCCGGGGCUU
rnacentral:rRNA from 1 species